CAAAAGGUAAAAUAAAUAAACAUAUAUUUGGGUUGUAUUUACAAUGGUGUUUGUUCUUCACUGGUUGCCCUUUUCUUGUGGCAACAGGUCACACAUCUUGCUGCUGUGAUGGCACACUGGUAUUUCACCCAGUAGAUAUGGGAGUUUAUCAAAAUUGGAUUUGUUUUCAAAUUCUUUGUGGGUCUGUGUAAUCUGAGGGAAAUAUGUGUCUCUAAUAUGGUCAUACAUUUGGCAGGAGGUUAGGAAGUGCAGGUCAGUUUUCACCUAAUUUUGUGGGCAGUGUGCACAUAGCCUGUCUUCUCUUGAGAGCCAGGUCCGCCUACAGCAGCAAGGCUAUGUCCACUGAGUCUGUACAAGGUCAAAGCGUUCCUUAAUUUAAGUUUGGGUCAGUCCCAGUGGUCAGGUAUUCUGCCACUGUGUACUCUCUGCAUGCCUGCACACACAGCCAGAGAAGCAGGUUCUGACAUUGAGAAUUCUAGUUUUCUCUGUUUUUUGUUAAUUCUUUCCAAUGUGUCAAGUAAUUAUCUUUUUGUUUUCUCAUGAUUUGGUUGAGUCUAAUUGUGUUGCUGUCCUGGGGCUCUGUGGGGUCUGUUUGUGUUUGUGAACAGAGCCCCAGAACCAGCUUGCUUAGGGGACUCUUCUCCAGGUUCAUCCCUCUGUAGGUGAUGGCUUUGUUAUAGAAGGCUUGGGAAUCACUUCCUUAUAGGUGGAUGUAGAAUUUAACGGCUCUUUUCUGGAUUUUGAUAAUUAGCGGGUAUCGGCCUAAUUCUGCUCUGCAUGCAUUAUUUGGUGUUUUACGUUGUACACUGAGGAUAUUUUUGCAGAGUCUCAAUUUGGUGUUUGUCCCAUUUUGUGAAUUUAUGGUUGGUGAGCGGAACCACAAGACCUCACAACCAUUAAGGGCAAUGGAUUCUAUAACUGAUUCAUUGUAUUUUUAGUCAGAUCCUAAUUGGUAUGUCUAAUUUUAUAUUACUUUUGAUGGCAUAGAAUUCCCUUCUUGCCUUGUCUCUCAGAUCGUUCACAGCUUUGUGGAAGUUACCUGUGGCGCUGAUGUUUAGGCCGAGGUAGGUAUAGUUUUUUGUGUGCUCUAGGGCAACGGUGUCUAGAUUGUAUUUGUGGUCCUGGCGACUGGACUUUUUUUGGAACAGCAUUAUUUUUGUCUUACUGAGAUUUACUGUCAGGGCCCAGGUCUGGCAGAAUCUGUGCAGAAGAUCUAGGUGCUGCUGUAGAACCUCCUUUGUUGGGGACAGAUCUAGGUGCUGCUGUAGGCCCUCCUUGGUUGGGGACAGAUCUAGGUGCUGCUGUAGGCCCUCCUUGGUUGGGGACAGAUCUAGGUGCUGCUGUAGGCCCUCCUUGGUUGGGGACAGAUCUAGGUGCUGCUGUAGGCCCUCCUUGGUUGGGGACAGAUCUAGGUGCUGCUCUAGGCCCUCCUUGGUUGGGGACAGAAGCACCAGAUCAUCAGCACAUAGUACACAUUUGACUUCAGAUUCUCUCUAUCACAUGGGGGAUUAUGGCAAGAACAGCUCAAAUAAGCAAGAAAUGACAGGCUAUCGUUACUUUAAGACAUACAGGUCAGUCAAUGUGGAAAUUUCAAGAACUUUGAAAGUUCCUUCAAGUGCAGUUGCAAAAACCAUCAAGCGCUAUGAUGAAAUUGGCUCUCAUGAGGACCGCCACAGGAAAGGAAGACCCAGAGUUACCUCUGCUGCAGAGGAUAAGUUUAUUAGAGUUACCAGCCUCAGAAGUUGCAACCCAAAUAAAUGCUUCACAGAGCAAGUAACAGACACAUCUCAACAUCAACUGUUCAGAGGAGACUGCAUGAAUCAGGCCUUCAUGGUUGAAUUGUUGCAAAGAAACCACUACUAAAGGACACCAAUAAGAAGAAGAGACUUGCUUGGGCCAAGAAACACGAGCAAUGGACAUUAGACCGGUGGAAAUCUGUCCUUUGGUCUGAUGAGCCCAAAUCGGAGAUUUUUGGUUCCAAACGCAGUGUCUUUGUGAAACGCAGAGUAGGUGAACGAAUGAUCUCAGGGUGUGGUUCCCACCAUUAAGCAUGUAGGAGGAGGUGUGAUGGUGCUUUGCUGGUGACACUGUCAGUGAUUUAUUUAGAAUUCAAGACACACGUAACCAGCAUGGCUACAACAGCAUUCUGCAGCGAUAUGCCAUCCCAUCUGGCCAUCCCAUCUCCAGGCUGUAUAAGGGCUAUUUGACCAAGGAGAGUGAUGCAUCAGAUGACCUGGCCUCCAAAACCACUGACCUCAACCCAAUUGAGAUGGUUUGGGAUGUGUUGGACCGUAGAGUGAAGGAAAAGCAGCCAACAAGUGCUCAGCAUAUGUGGGAACUCCUGCAAGACUGUUAGAAAAUCAUUCCUCAUGAAGCUGGUUGAGAAAAUUCCAAGAGUGUGCAAAGCUGUCAUCAAGGCAAAGGGUGGCUACUUUGAAGAAUCUCAAAUAUAAAAUAUAUUUUGAUUUGUUUAACACUUUUUUGGUUAGUACAUGAUUCCAUGUGUUAUUUCAUAGUUUUGAUGUCUUCACUAUUGCUCUGUGUAGAAAAUAGUAAAAAUAAAGAAAACCCCUUUA
rnacentral:lncRNA from 1 species